UACCAGCACCCCGAGUGGUCGGGACGAUUAUUGGGCCUAAAGCAUCCGUAGCCGGUCAUGCAAGUCUUCCGUUAAAUCCAGCCGCUCAACGGUUGGGCUGCGGAGGAUACUACGUGGCUAGGAGGCGGGAGAGGCAAGCGGUACUCAGUGGGUAGGGGUAAAAUCCUUUGAUCCAUUGAAGACCACCAGUGGCGAAGGCGGCUUGCCAGAACGCGCUCGACGGUGAGGGAUGAAAGCUGGGGGGAGCAAACCGG
rnacentral:rRNA from 1 species